rnacentral:rRNA from 1 species
CCUACGGGAGGCAGCAGUGGGGAAUAUUGCGCAAUGGGCGAAAGCCUGACGCAGCGACGCCGCGUGAGGGAUGAAGGUCUUCGGAUCGUAAACCUCUGUCAGCAGGGACGAACGGUCACUGUGCUAAUCAGCAGUGAAUUGACGGUACCUGCAAAGGAAGCACCGGCUAACUCCGUGCCAGCAGCCGCGGUAAUACGGAGGGUGCGAGCGUUAAUCGGAUUUACUGGGCGUAAAGCGCUCGUAGGCGGUAUGUCAAGUCAAGGGUGAAAUCCCCGCGCUCAACGUGGGAACUGCCUUUGAAACUGGCCAACUUGAGUGUGGGAGAGGAUAGUGGAAUUCCAGGUGUAGGAGUGAAAUCCGUAGAUAUCCGGAGGAACAUCAGUGGCGAAGGCGACUAUCUGGCACAUAACUGACGCUGAGGAGCGAAAGCGUGGGUAGCAAACAGGAUUAGAUACCCCGGUAGUC